UACGGAGGGUGCAAGCGUUAUCCGGAUUCACUGGGUUUAAAGGGAGCGUAGGUGGGUCUGUAAGUCAGUGGUGAAAUCUCCGUGCUUAACAUGGAAACUGCCAUUGAUACUAUAGGUCUUGAAUUAUCUGGAGGUUAGCGGAAUAUGUCAUGUAGCGGUGAAAUGCUUAGAUAUGACAUAGAACACCAAUUGCGAAGGCAGCUGGCUACAGGUACAUUGACACUGAGGCUCGAAAGCGUGGGGAUCAAACAGG
rnacentral:rRNA from 1 species